GAUGAAGAACGUAGCGAAAUGCGAUAAGUAAUGUGAAUUGCAGAAUUCAGUGAAUCAUCGAAUCUUUGAACGCACAUUGCGCCCGUCAGUAUUCUGGCGGGCAUGCCUGUUCGAGCGUCAUUACGCCCCUCAAGUCCCCUGUGGACUUGGUGUUGGGGAUCGGCGAGGCUGGUUUUCCAGCACAGCCGUCCCUUAAAUUAAUUGGCGGUCUCGCCGCGGCCCUCCUCUGCGCAGUAGUAAAACACUCGCAACAGGAGCCCGGCGCGGUCCACUGCCGUAAAACCCCCCAACUUUUUAUAGUUGACCUCGAAUCAGGUAGGACUACCCGCUGAACUUAAGCAUAUCAAUAAGCGGAGGA
rnacentral:misc_RNA from 1 species